rnacentral:rRNA from 1 species
ACCUGACUGCUAUCGGAUUGAUACUAAGCCAUGCGAGUCAUUGUAGCAAUACAAGGCAUACGGCUCAGUAACGCGUAGUCAACCUAACCUAUGGACGGGAAUAACCUCGGGAAACUGAGAAUAAUGCCCGAUAGAACACUAUACCUGGAAUGGUUUGUGUUCCAAAUGAUUUAUCGCCAUAGGAUGGGACUGCGGCCUAUCAGUUUGUUGGUGAGGUAAUGGCCCACCAAGACUAUUACAGGUACGGGCUCUGAGAGGAGUAGCCCGGAGAUGGGUACUGAGACACGGACCCAGGCCCUAUGGGGCGCAGCAGGCGAGAAAACUUUGCAAUGUGCGAAAGCACGACAAGGUUAAUCCGAGUGAUUUGUGCUAAACGAAUCUUUUGUUAGUCCUAGAAACACUAACGAAUAAGGGGUGGGCAAGUUCUGGUGUCAGCCGCCGCGGUAAAACCAGCACCUCAAGUGGUCAGGAUGAUUAUUGGGCCUAAAGCAUCCGUAGCCGGCUCUGUAAGUUUUCGGUUAAAUCUGUACGCUUAACGUACAGGCUGCCGGGAAUACUGCAGAGCUAGGGAGUGGGAGAGGUAGACGGUACUCGGUAGGAAGUGGUAAAAUGCUUUGAUCUAUCGAUGACCACCUGUGGCGAAGGCGGUCUACCAGAACACGUCCGACGGUGAGGGAUGAAAGCUGGGGGAGCAAACCGGAUUAGAUACCCGGGUAGUCCCAGCUGUAAACUAUGCAAACUCAGUGAUGCAUUGGCUUGUGGCCAAUGCAGUGCUGCAGGGAAGCCGUUAAGUUUGCCGCCUGGGAAGUACGUACGCAAGUAUGAAACUUAAAGGAAUUGGCGGGGGAGCACCACAGGGGGUGAAGCCUGCGGUUC